GUGAGUAUAGGUCAGUGGUAGAGCACAUGCUUAGCAUGCACGAGGUCCUGGGUUCUAUCCCCAGUACCUCCA
rnacentral:tRNA from 1 species